GUCUCAGACAGACAGCCAGGCUUUGGGAAUUACCACGUUUGGAAAAGAUACAACUCCCUGCAAUGCAGUGCAAGAACUCAAAUGGGAGGACCCUCGUCAGUCAUUGCCAGCUUGUACACGCUCAAGGAAGAGCUAGGCCCUGCCUCUAUCUUGAUUGUGUCAGCACCUUUAGGACAUCAGAUACAACUCCCUGCAAUGCAGUGCAAGAACUCAAAUGGGAGGACCCUCGUCAGUCAUUGCCAGCUUGUACACGCUCAAGGAAGAGCUAGGCCCUGCCUCUAUCUUGAUUGUGUCAGCACCUUUAGGACAUCAGAUACAACUCCCUGCAAUGCAGUGCAAGAACUCAAAUGGGAGGACCCUCGUCAGUCAUUGCCAGCUUGUACACGCUCAAGGAAGAGCUAGGCCCUGCCUCUAUCUUGAUUGUGUCAGCACCUUUAGGACAUCAGGAUACUGAUGCAGAAGACACCUACACAAGCAUCCUCACAGUACUCGAAGAUGAUGUUGCUGUCAAGUCUCUUCCAAUGGUAAUCAACAUUGCAAUCAACCUGGAAGAGACUGUGGUCCUAGAGGACAUUUAAGACUUGCCAAAGACUCUUGUACGCCAGUUCGUAAAGCUUACGCUGAAGAGAAUGCGUUCUGGAUGAGCAGGUGUGAACAUCAAGUUCCACAAAUACCCUCUGGAUCACCUCGAAUGUGUAACUAAGGUCCUUUGGACUGUGUGUGUGUGUGUGUGUGUGUGUGUGUGUGUGUGUGUGUGUGUGUGUGUGUGUGUGUGUGUGUGUGUGUGUGUGUGUGUGUGUGUGUGUGUGUGUGUGUGUGUGUGUGUGUGUGUGUGUGUGUGUGUGUGUGUGUGUGUGCGCGCGCGCGGACCUUCAGAGGGAGAAAGACAUAAUGCAGACUGACACACAGGCAAACACAUGCACACACCAUACAUUUACAAAAUGCAUUUUUUUGUUUGAUAUUUAAUAACUGCUCUUUA